rnacentral:lncRNA from 1 species
CAGGCAUGCUGUUAACAGUGAGUGGUCAUUCUGUAGAUUAUAGCCUUGGCAGUUUGUGUCAUUUGAAAGCAAAUAUCCUGAUAUUUUUUAAAUAAGGUGGGCAGAGCAGGCAGGAAAUCAAUACUUGUCACUCUCAUGAUUAAACACUGACCAGGCUUGUUGAUGUGUAUGCCAAUCAAUCUGGAGUUUCUGGCUUGGUGUAAAAUUAAAAUGUCUUUUAUAUUGUGGUCUGCUAUCUGUUUCUGUAAUAAGGUCAGUUUGUUGUCUUCUGUGCACCAGUGGUUUUGCCCUUAAUUUUUUUGGCUAGCAUUCACUAAAAUCUGUCAUCCAGAACUGCUGAGAAAAAUACAUGUUGCCAAACUUUUCUUAAAAUUGUGCUGCCAGUGAUGUUUUCCCAGAUGUGAAAAAUAAUUAUCUAAUAAAGGAUUAAUACCUAAUAAC